GCCCCUUUAGCUCAGUGGUAGAGCGUCGCACUCGUACGCUUGAUAUGCGAAGGUCCACGGUUCAAUCCCGUGAGGGGGCA
rfam:Colletotrichum fioriniae PJ7 Scaffold_933.1, whole genome shotgun sequence.